rnacentral:tRNA from 1 species
GGGGAUUUAGCUCAGUGGUAGAGCGCUUGCCUAGCAAGCACAAAACCCUGGGUUCGGUCCCCAGCUCCG